UGCUGUGGCUCAGUUGGUAGAGCGUCGCCUUGGUAAGGCGGAGGUCACGAGUUCAAAUCUCGUCAGC
rnacentral:tRNA from 1 species